CCUACGGGGGGCAGCAGUAGGGAAUUUUCGUCAAUGGGCGCAAGCCUGAACGAGCAAUGCCGCGUGAACGAGGAAGGUCUUCGGAUCGUAAAGUUCUGUUGAAGGGGAAAAAGAGCGGAGAGAGGAAAUGAACUCCGAUUGAUAUUACCCUUCGAGGAAGUCACGGCUAACUACGUGCCAGCAGCCGCGGUAAUACGUAGGGGGCAAGCGUUAUCCGGAUUUACUGGGUGUAAAGGGAGCGUAGACGGCAUAGCAAGUCUGAUGUGAAAGAUCGGGGCUCAACGCCGGGCCUGCAUUGGA
rnacentral:rRNA from 1 species